GCAGUUCUCUGAUUGUGCCACACAUUUGCAGUUGUAAAUAAACCUAAGUUUAUUUACACACUUUUAUUGCUUUUGUCCAAAAGAAGGUUUUUUUUCUUGAAAAACUGCUUGAAAAACACAUUAUAAAGGGUGUGACAUUGAAUGGUGGUUUUGGAAAAGCCACAGAGUUUUUAAAACUUUUGUCCUUGAACUCCGUUUGUUUUUCAAACUGUCUGUCUCCAAGCAUAAGAAAUUAUGACCCUUGGGGAGCAAAAUGAACUAUGUCCUCUACCUGCCAGCAUAGCCACUGAUGGGCUUAAAUCUAUAAAUUCAUUUAAUAGUAGAAUGCAAUACCUUUCGCUCUAUUAUUAAUGAUUUCCAUAACAAUGUUGGUAUAGUUCCGUUGCUUUACAGAAUUCUUUUACUAUGUUCAGGAUGGAUGGAUUUCAGACACAAGGAUCUUUAAGUAAUAACCCCGAAAGAAGGAAAUACUUAGAAGCCACUAUACCAUAUGAUGGACUUUGAAGCACGGCAAGCUUUUUUUUGUGCAAUGUAGUGCGAAGUAUUUUGAUAGGAAAACUAUUUUCAAGACAAAUCCCUCCAUAAGUAUAUGAAUAUUCUGUAUAAGUAUAGGAACUGGAAGGCCUGACUGCAUUUAAGAGGCCCCGGGUAACUGAUCGCUCCCAUCAAGGCCUGCGCAAGUUCAUAGCGAAGAUGUAACACCCCACACCCUCAGCCUCCUGCUUGGCUUUCAGCGUCAAGCGCCUAGGUCACGAGGGGACCAGGAGCCUAUGACAUGGAGAGCAAAAGGCCUGGGAUGACCAAUGGGAUGCCCUUUGUUAACAACUGUUUGAAGUAGUAUAACGCUAAUUAUAAGCUUGUUGGGAUUAGGUUGGCUAUACCUGUUCUUAACUGCUCUAACAAAGAGAAAAUAA